rnacentral:rRNA from 1 species
GACGAACGCUGGCGGCGUGCUUAACACAUGCAAGUCGAACGGAAAGGCCCUGCUUUUGUGGGGUGCUCGAGUGGCGAACGGGUGAGUAACACGUGAGUAACCUGCCCUUGACUUUGGGAUAACUUCAGGAAGCUGGGGCUAAUACCGGAUAGGAGCUCCUGCUGCAUGGUGGGGGUUGGAAAGUUUCGGCGGUUGGGGAUGGACUCGCGGCUCAUCAGCUUGUUGGUGGGGUAGUGGCUUACCAAGGCUUUGACGGGUAGCCGGCCUGAGAGGGUGACCGGCCACAUUGGGACUGAGAUACGGCCCAGACUCCUACGGGAGGCAGCAGUGGGGAAUAUUGCACAAUGGGCGGAAGCCUGAUGCAGCAACGCCGCGUGCGGGAUGACGGCCUUCGGGUUGUAAACCGCUUUCGCCUGUGACGAAGCGUGAGUGACGGUAAUGGGUAAAGAAGCACCGGCUAACUACGUG